AAUCAACGCUGGCGGCGUGCCUCAGACAUGCAAGUCGAACGAUUAAAGCUCUCUUCGGAGAGUGUAUAGAGUGGCGCACGGGUGAGUAACACGUAAGUAAUCUACCCUCGAGUGGGGAAUAACAACCGGAAACGGUUGCUAAUACCGCAUAAUGCAGCGGCACCGCAAGGUGACAGUUGUUAAAGAUUUAUCGCUUGAGGAGGAGCUUGCGGCAGAUUAGCUAGUUGGUAGGGUAACGGCUUACCAAGGCUACGAUCUGUAACCGGUCUAAGAGGACGGUCGGUCACACUGACACUGAAUAACGGGUCAGACUCCUACGGGAGGCAGCAGUCGGGAAUUUUGGGCAAUGGGCGAAAGCCUGACCCAGCAACGCCGCGUGAAGGAUGAAGUAUUUCGGUAUGUAAACUUCGAAAGAAUAGGAAGAAUUAAUGACGGUACUAUUAUAAGGUCGGCUAACUACGUGCCAGCAGCCGCGGUAAU
rnacentral:rRNA from 1 species